rnacentral:rRNA from 1 species
CAGCAGCCGCGGGAACACCAGCAGCCCAAGUGGUGGUCGCGAUUAUUGGGCCUAAAGCGCUCGUAGCCGGGCCGGUAAGUCCCUUGUGAAAUCGGACGGCCUAACCGUUGGCGUGCAAGGGAUACUGUCGGUCUUGAGGCCGGGAGACGUCCGAGGUACUCCGGGGGUAGCGGUGAAAUGUUCUGAUCCUCGGGGGACCACCGGUGGCGAAGGCGUUCGACGAGAACGGGCCUGACGGUGAGGGGCGAAGGCUAGGGGAGCAAACAGGAUUAGAUACCCGCGUAGUCCCUGUCUCUUAUAC